ACAAUGCUAUCUGUCAGCAUUAAGCAUGAAAGUACACUAAAGAAACAUUUUGGUCUUGGUUUGGCUGCUAUUUUACAAAAGCAUUCACUAAUUUUUUUUUUUUUUUGAAUGAGAAAACAUUUAUUCCAUCUCCAAACAGCAUCCCAGGGCCGGGCAUCUCCCCUACGACUUUAUAAUACACUCGGCACAGACAGAGUUUGGGAGCCAUGGGACACCUCUGCCCUCCCCAGGCUUCCUAAGUAACAACUGCAGAAUAUUUACAUAAAGCUGGGUGUUGUCAGGCAAAGCCAUUCCCUGCUGCCAGGGGUGGGAGCAAGAAGGAAGUGCCAUGAGCACCAGCCCCGCCUUCACACCGUGGGAGGCAGCCCAGAGGCCACCGGCACAGGGUGGUGGCCCCCAGAUCAUACAGCAGUGGACACAGGGGAAGCAAACCUGAGUGAGGACACAAGAGCCUGGUCCGGCUCCGCUGCACAGGAGAAACAUAAUUGAGGUGGAAGGAUCCAGAAGAAAGGAACCAGUGAUGAUGAGGACAGAGGGCUCUCCACGGGAAGGUGGGAGAGAAUUUAGUUCUCUGUGCCGUGAAGAUGGGAUUGGAGCCAUACAUUGGAGAUGAAGAGAGUCCUUCCAUCCAUCUGCUGGACCUGCUGGGCCUCAGGGCUUUCUCUGAAGUGGUAGGGGGAAGAUGUCACAGAGGAAAUGUAAAGAAAAGUCUACCUCGGCAGUCUACAGCGUGGUGGAUAAAAAAAGAGCAGGAAGAGUCUGGCGAGGCGAUCAGCCUGAUGUAGUACCUGAGGAAGGCAAGAAAGGAUAUAAAGAAAAUAAGAAACAACACUUUCUCUGCACAUCCAAAUUGUGGCAAGGAUUUUUGCAGAUUGCCACCAGUUCACUGAGAGGAGUCAUUGAAAACAUGGCAUUGAGGACAGAGACUGCCACUUCAGAAUUUUCUACAUCCAACUGCUGAAGCCACUCGAAGAUAUUUCCCUCAGAGAACCAUAACCAGCUUUGGAGAAGAUGCUUCCACAUAGCUUGUUUCACAGCAUCUCAUCUCUCAUUAAAACCUUGUUGAGGGAGCAUUACUGUCUGAGCAAUGGACAUAGCUCUCAUACGAACCUUUUCAGCUAACACCGGAUAAGCCAGCUUUCUGACAGCCUCUUUCACAUCCUUGGUGCACCCUACAAUUUUUGGCAAAGUCUUUGCUGAUGGUGCAAUACAUGAUAACACUGCCUGUCUAAGUUCUGGAUUCAAAUCAAUCAUUUUCGAUCAAAGUAGCAUAUGCAUUAACCACUGGGCAUUCAUCAUCCUUUGGAUCCUGAAGUCGUGAAAGCGCCAGAACUGCCUGUAUUCUCACAUUUGGAAUCUUAUCUUUCAGUCUAAUAAGCAUGGCUUCAUUAAUUUUGUCAAACACACCAUCAUCAAUCUGAGCUUCUUCUGGCAUACUUCUCAAAAGCUUGUUUAUGCAGCUCCUGGUUCUUGAACUAACGUAGGCAUCAGCACAGCUGAUUCUCAUUCAGGAGAAGACAGUGCUGUGCCCAGGGGCCCCUGAGCCAUUGCCCAGCUUUCCAGCUUUCCAGGAAGUCUGCACUGGAGAAGCAUUCAACCUCCUCUGAGCUAACAUUUUCAUGUGCACACGUGAUUAUGAGUGUGAUACAGACAUUAUUUUACUUGUGUAACUAAUUUUUAAAUCAGACUAAUAAAAAAAGUUAUCAGUC
rnacentral:lncRNA from 1 species